rnacentral:rRNA from 1 species
GGGGAAUAUUUCGCAAUGGGCGAAAGCCUGACGCAGCGACGCCGCGUGAGGGAUGAAGGUUCUCGGAUCGUAAACCUCUGUCAGAAGGGAGGAAACCGUACCGUUCUAAUCAGCAGAGCAUUGGCGGUACCCUCAACGGACGAACAGGCUAACUCCGUGCCAGCAGCCGCGGUAAUACGGAGGGUGCAAGCGUUAAUCGGAAUUACUGGGCGUAAAGCGCACGUAGGCUGCUUUGUAAGUCAGGGGUGAAAUCCCACGGCUCAACCGAUGGAACUGCCUUUGAUACUGCUUAGCUUGAAUCCGGGAGAGGGUGGCGGAAUUCCAGGUGUAGGAGUGAAAUCCGUAGAUAUCUGGAGGAACAUCAGUGGCGAAGGCGGCCACCUGGACCGGUAUUGACGCUGAGGUGCGAAAGCGUGGGGAGCAAACA